CGCACGGGUGAGUAAUACGUCGGAACGUACCUUUCAGAGGGGAUAACCACGGGAAACUGUGGCUAAUACCGCAUAAUAUCGAAAGAUUAAAGGUGGCCUCUAUUUAUAAGCUACCACUGGAAGAUCGGCCGACGUCCCAUUAGCUAGUUGGCGGGGUAAAAGCCCACCAAGGCAUCGAUGGGUAGCUGGUCUGAGAGGAUGAUCAGCCACACUGGAACUGAGACACGGUCCAG
rnacentral:rRNA from 1 species